UAUAAGCCUCAGUUAGACUGUCCAUGUCAGAUUGGAAAAUCGGCCAAUCAGAAACCUUCUUUUUGCCAUGUCACACCGAUGUUGCGCUGGUCUUUUUUAUUGAUCCGUAAAUCUAAGUUUUGGGCCAAGAAGCCCAAUCCAAAAGAAACCAAAACCUAAAACGCUGAACGCUGAGACUGAAUCGAUGAAUCAUUUCAACAGUCUCCAUCUUCGUCGUUACGACUUUCAUUAACUCGCAAUCAAUGAAACCUUUUCCGUUCUAAAAGGUUGUGAAUCAAUAAGGAGAUAAGUUUAUGUGAAAUUCAUCAGUUUCUCACUCUCAAUCAUUAUAAUUCUUUGAUCAUGCUCCAACGAAAGCUCACCAAAAUUGUAAAGAAAGAAGAGAGAGAGAUAUAGAAUCUUCUUCACGCCACAGAGUGACCCAAAUUAUCAGUUUCUUCAAUCAAAGGAAUUCACUCCGCCAGAGAGAUCGAAACGACUCCAAUAACUUCACAUUACCUUAUCUUCGAUGGGGUCAGCAGAGAUUCUUUAGAGGGGUCAAGCUAUCGUCAGAGAUCUCCCUAGGUCGCUGAAGGAGGAGAGCCUAAUGGUCUUGGAACGGCAAGCUGCGGCUGGAUCUUGUGUGCGAUGGGAAACCGUUGCAGGAGCUCCGCCUUGGAAUCUUGGCGUUAAGAGAUGGAGAUUCACAGAAACUGAAAUUCUCUGUCUCUUUGUUGAGGGAAGAUAUCGAAAAAUACUAAAUCUGGAUGUAUUCUAUUUGAUUGGAUACAAUAGCUUUGAUUUUAAAAGUUGUAAUUUCUUUGCGUUGUUGAAGUACAAGUACUCUUUCUUUUCCUCACUAUAGUGGAUUCGGGGUUGAUAUUCUCCAAAGAUAUCUCUAUUAUGGUUGUGUGAUUAUCCAGCGUAUUUAGAGAGGAUCAUGAUCAUCGGAUAAAAAUUGGAGGUUGAUGCUUCCUAAACUGAUGGUGGCAUCCGUACCGUAAGCGGCAUAGGUUUGUGGCUUCCAAGCUGCUGUUGGUGUUUCGUUGGGAAAAACCUCAUUCAAGACCGAAGAAGAGACCAACAACUGUCCAAAAUUGAAUGAAUGGGAAGUAACAACAGGCUCUUAUGAGUAAUGACGUCCCUGAGUAGAGGAAGUAACAACAUUUUCAUUUGAAUCUUUUCAGUUGUAAUAAGGAAGAACAAAUAUAGUAAAUGAACUAUUUUUCUUACAU